ACACAGGUGCUGCAUGGCUGUCGUCAGCUCGUGUCGUGAGAUGUUGGGUUAAGUCCGUAACGAGCGCAACCCUUGUCCUUAGUUACCAGCACGUUAUGGUGGGCACUCUAAGGAGACUGCCGGUGACAAACCGGAGGAAGGUGGGGAUGACGUCAAGUCAUCACGGCCCUUACGGCCUGGGCUACACACGUGCUACAAUGGUCGGUACAAAGGGUUGCCAAGCCGCGAGGUGGAGCUAAUCCCAUAAAACCGAUCGUAGUCCGGAUCGCAGUCUGCAACUCGACUGCGUGAAGUCGGAAUCGCUAGUAAUCGUGAAUCAGAAUGUCACGGUGAAUACGUUCCCGGGCCUU
rnacentral:rRNA from 1 species